AACGCACCUUGCGCCUCUUGGUAUUCCGAGAGGCAUGCCUGUUUGAGUGUCAUGAAAACCUCAAUCCUCCACGGUUUAGUUGCCGGGCUGGACUUGGACUUGGGUGUCUGCCGACUCAUUGGCUCACCUCAAAGGCGUUAGUGGGAUAGGCCUCUGGCUCGACGUAAUAAGUUUCGUUGGACCCCUGGCUCUACGUCUGCUCACAACAACCCUUACCUUUACUUCUGACCUCAAAUCAGGUAGGGCUACCCGCUGAACUUAA
rnacentral:misc_RNA from 1 species